rnacentral:rRNA from 1 species
CCUUGUACACACCGCCCGUCACACCAUGGGAGUGGGUUGCUCUAGAAGUAGCUAGUCUAACCUUCGGGGGGACGGUUACCACGGAGUGAUUCAUGACUGGGGUG